GAUGAAGAACGUAGCGAAAUGCGAUAAGUAAUGUGAAUUGCAGAAUUCAGUGAAUCAUCGAAUCUUUGAACGCACCUUGCACCCUUUGGCAUUCCGAAGGGUAUGCUCGUUUGAGUGUCAUUGUACUCUCACACUCUCCGAUCCUAUGGAUUCGGGGAGCGGUGGACUUGGGUGUUGCUGCCUUUCCUUGUGGCUCACCUCAAAUGUGUCAGUGCACCUCUUGGUUGGACAUAGUACGGCGUGAUAAGUGUCUUCGCCGGCACCUCGCAAGAGGGUGGCCGAUCGGCAGCUCUGUGCUUUCAAACCGUCUUCGGACAAUUUCUGACAACUUGACCUCAAAUCGAGUAGGACUACCCGCUGAACUUAAGCAUAUCAAUAAGCGGAGGA
rnacentral:misc_RNA from 1 species